ACAACUGUUGCAAUCCCGAGUGAAAAUCAGCAGUACAGAAUGCUUGAUCCAGUACCACAGAAAGCAUCCCAGGACACAGAUCAGCAGAUCACCCUAUAGCAGAAAUGAUGAGUUAUGGGCUGAAGCAGUGAUUGGGCACCUGGUGGGAAGGCAGGGCCAACCCAGGGGAGCUCAGCUGUAUGCAAUGUACCUGAUGGAAGGGCUGGGACCAGGAUCCACCCCUUCCCAGCCCUCAUUUAUGAGUUGGCAGUGGAGGUGAGGGUGUCUCUCUGGAGUUUCCUGUGUAUCUGAGGUCUUCUUAAGCUUUCUAUAUGCACAAGAGGAUGCAUUUUUUGGAUGAAGAUGCAGGAGGAAAAGAAAUAGAAGUCACAGCCAUAAGGAUGCUGAAGCCAAGGGCACAUUCACUGGAAAUAACUCUGAAACCUCUACAACAGACACUUAAAACACC